rnacentral:rRNA from 1 species
UACGUAGGGUGCGAGCGUUGUCCGGAUUUAUUGGGCGUAAAGAGCGUGUAGGCGGCCAGGUAGGUCUGCUGUGAAAACUCGAGGCUCAACCUCGAGACGUCGGCGGAAACCAUCUGGCUAGAGUCCGGAAGAGGAGAGUGGAAUUCCUGGUGUAGCGGUGAAAUGCGCAGAUAUCAGGAAGAACACCCGUGGCGAAAGCGGCUCUCUGGGACGGUACUGACGCUGAGACGCGAAAAGCGUGGGGAGCGAACAGG